UUUCCUUGAAGCUUUUAGUUCAGCAAAGAUACAGAGGAGGCAUAAAGAUAAAAUUAUUAGCAGAAGGAAGGGAGUUCACUGACAGCUGUGUUUCUCUUUUUGAGGUGACAGCAAAUGGCAAAGAUCUUUGCCAGAUAAAAGUUGACUGCAGAAGACUUACAGCCUGACAUACAUGUUUUCUGACCUCCAUGCGAGGCUGGGUCACAAGAACUAGACAAGUGGGGAGCGGGAAGUGCCUGCCUGGUCCGAAUGCAGGGAGUCCGAGGUCGCGGUGCCACCUCCCUGUGAGGUCAGCACAGGUCUAAGCUAGAGGUCUAGGUCUGGAGACCAGAAACAUUGGCAUCACCUGGGAGCUUUUUAGACCUGCACAUUCUCGGCUCUUCUCCCUCUCCCCCGCAACCUGCUGAAUCAGACUACAUUUUAACAAUAGCCUCAGCUACAGAAGAUGGGAGUAUAGGCAGCAGGUAUACCCAUCCCUGAGGGAGAAUGCACAGAAUGCCUUGCCUUGAAGCUGCAACUGGGAAAGCAUGGAAAGAAUGGUUUCCAGGAUAGUGUUACUGUGCUCUUAUAAGAAGGAGGAAUGUGGAAGAGAUCCUGCAGAGACAGAAAUCAGAUAACUUACAGAUUCUUGAAAAGAACAUUUUCUCAUCUGCAUGCAGAGACAUGAUCUCAUCGCCCAGACAGGAGUGCGGAGGCAUGACUGCAGCUGACCGUAACCUCGAGCUCCUGGGCUCAAGUGAGCCUCCCAUCUCAGUGUUGCAAGUAGCUGGGACUACUGGUGUGUUACCACACUCCGCUAAUUUUUUUAAAGUUAUUUUUUAUAGAGACAGGAUCUUACUAUGUUGCCCAGCUGGUCUCAAACUCCUGGUGUCAAGCAACCCUCCUGCCUUGGCCUCCCAAAGUGCUGGGAUUACAGACGUGAGCCACCAUGCCUGGCUCAUUUCUGUCAUAUGUUUACAAACAUGCCCAUUUUCUGAACCCUCCAAUCUGUAUCACUGGGGUAAGGCAGGAUGGGGAGCUCUCAUAGAACAAAAGCAAAACCCAAGGAACUUCAGGAUAGCUACCACCUUUGCCAAGGAUUGAGCCACCUCAAUCAUAUAUCACCUGAUUUUGAAAUCUUUGAGCUUUUCUGCAUUCAGUUUGGCUGUUAAGAAAUCUGGAAGUUUUCGGCCCAACUGGUGAAAACUGUACAACAAACAUUCCACAUAACUGAACUGUAGCUUGGGUUCUUCAUUACCAGCAUUCUCUC
rnacentral:lncRNA from 1 species